rnacentral:rRNA from 1 species
UACGAAGGGGGCUAGCGUUGCUCGGAAUCAUUGGGCGUAAAGCGCGUGUAGGCGGCUCGAUAAGUCUGCUGUGAAAGUCCAGGGCUCAACCCUGGGAUGCCGGUGGAUACUGUCGAGCUCGAGUCCGGAAGAGGCGAGUGGAAUUCCUGGUGUAGCGGUGGAAUGCGCAGAUAUCAGGAAGAACACCCGUGGCGAAGGCGGCUCUCUGGGACGGUACUGACGCUGAGACGCGAAAGCGUGGGGAGCGAACAGG